GAGGAAAAGAAACCAACAGGGAUUGCCUUAGUAACGGCGAGUGAAGCGGCAAAAGCUCAAAUUUGAAAUCGGCCACCAGGUCGAGUUGUAAUUUGUAGAUUGUAUCUUGAGAGCGGAUUAAAGUCUGUUGGAACACAGCGCCUUAGAGGGUGACAGCCCCGUAAAAUCUAUUCUCAUUGUAAGAUACUUUCGAAGAGUCGAGUUGUUUGGGAAUGCAGCUCUAAGUGGGAGGUAAAUUCCUUCUAAAGCUAAAUAUUGACGAGAGACCGAUAGCGAACAAGUACUGUGAAGGAAAGAUGAAAAGCACUUUGAAAAGAGAGUGAAAAAGUACGUGAAAUUGUUAAAAGGGAAGGGUAUUGAAUCAGACUUGGUGCUGUUGUUCAACUGUGUUUCGGCACAGUGUACUCAGCAGUACUAGGCCAAGGUGGGGUGUUUGGGAGUGAAAAAGAAGUUGGAACGUAACUCUUCGGAGUGUUAUAGCCUACUUUCAUAGCUCCUCAGGCGCCUCAGGACUGC
rnacentral:rRNA from 1 species